rnacentral:rRNA from 1 species
AGUUUGAUCCUGGCUCAGAUUGAACGCUGGCGGCGUGCCUAACACAUGCAAGUCGAGCGGUAACAGGCGUAGCAAUACGUGCUGACGAGCGGCGAACGGGUGAGUAAUGCUUCGGAAUCUGCCCAGUAGUGGGGAAUAACCAUCCGAAAGGAUGGCUAAUACCGCAUACGUCCUACGGGAGAAAGCGGGGGAUCGUAAGACCUCGCGCUAUUGGAUGAGCCGAAGCCGGAUUAGCUAGUUGGUAGGGUAACGGCCUACCAAGGCGACGAUCCGUAGCUGGUCUGAGAGGACGACCAGCCACACUGGGACUGAGACACGGCCCAGACUCCUACGGGAGGCAGCAGUGGGGAAUAUUGCACAAUGGGCGCAAGCCUGAUGCAGCGACGCCGCGUGAGGGAUGACGGCCUUCGGGUUGUAAACCUCUUUCAGUAGGGAAGAAGCGUAAGUGACGGUACCUGCAGAAGAAGCGCCGGCUAACUACGUGCCAGCAGCCGCGGUAAUACGUAGGGCGCAAGCGUUAUCCGGAAUUAUUGGGCGUAAAGAGCUCGUAGGCGGUUUGUCGCGUCUGCUGUGAAAGACCGGGGCUCAACUCCGGUUCUGCAGUGGGUACGGGCAGACUAGAGUGAUGUAGGGGAGACUGGAAUUCCUGGUGUAGCGGUGAAAUGCGCAGAUAUCAGGAGGAACACCGAUGGCGAAGGCAGGUCUCUGGGCAUUAACUGACGCUGAGGAGCGAAAGCAUGGGGAGCGAACAGGAUUAGAUACCCUGGUAGUCCAUGCCGUAAACGUUGGGCACUAGGUGUGGGGGACAUUCCACGUUUUCCGCGCCGUAGCUAACGCAUUAAGUGCCCCGCCUGGGGAGUACGGCCGCAAGGCUAAAACUCAAAGGAAUUGACGG